rnacentral:rRNA from 1 species
AUUGAACGCUGGCGGCAUGCUUUACACAUGCCAGUCGAACGGUAACAGGCCGCAAGGUGCUGACGAGUGGCGAACGGGUGAGUAAUGCAUCGGAACGUGCCCAGUCGUGGGGGAUAACUACUCGAAAGAGUAGCUAAUACCGCAUACGAUCUAUGGAUGAAAGCGGGGGACCGUAAGGCCUCGCGCGAUUGGAGCGGCCGAUGUCAGAUUAGGUAGUUGGUGGGGUAAAGGCUCACCAAGCCAACGAUCUGUAGCUGGUCUGAGAGGACGACCAGCCACACUGGGACUGAGACACGGCCCAGACUCCUACGGGAGGCAGCAGUGGGGAAUUUUGGACAAUGGGCGCAAGCCUGAUCCAGCAAUGCCGCGUGCAGGAAGAAGGCCUUCGGGUUGUAAACUGCUUUUGUACGGAACGAAACGGCUCUGGUUAAUACCCGGGGCUAAUGACGGUACCGUAAGAAAAAGCACCGGCUAACUACGUG